rnacentral:rRNA from 1 species
UAGGGAAUCUUCCGCAAUGGACGAAAGUCUGACGGAGCAACGCCGCGUGAGCGAUGAAGGCCUUCGGGUCGUAAAGCUCUGUUGUUAGGGAAGAACAAGUGCUAGUUGAAUAAGCUGGCACCUUGACGGUACCUAACCAGAAAGCCACGGCUAACUACGUGCCAGCAGCCGCGGUAAUACGUAGGUGGCAAGCGUUGUCCGGAAUUAUUGGGCGUAAAGCGCGCGCAGGCGGUUUCUUAAGUCUGAUGUGAAAGCCCCCGGCUCAACCGGGGAGGGUCAUUGGAAACUGGGAAACUUGAGUGCAGAAGAGGAAAGUGGAAUUCCAAGUGUAGCGGUGAAAUGCGUAGAGAUUUGGAGGAACACCAGUGGCGAAGGCGACUUUCUGGUCUGUAACUGACGCUGAGGCGCGAAAGCGUGGGGAGCAAACA